rnacentral:tRNA from 1 species
GGCCCGUUCGGCUAUCGGUUAGGCCGUAUCCCUUUCACGGAUAAGAGAGGGGUUCGACUCCCCUACGGGCUA